ensembl:lncRNA
GUUCACUUAGCUGCCUCUUAAUACACAGAUAUCUGGUCUGUGAGCUCGCAUUAGGCAUUCCUUGCAUGCAUACUGAAUAUGUGCAGAAAUGUGCUCAUGCAGGCUUUGAUGUCUGCAGUAUGUAACAUCAUCUGUUCUCCGAUAAAAUUGUCCUCUGAGCUCAGGACCACAUUUGGGGAUCCUUCUGCCUGCAAUUCUGACUUUGUGCAACAUCUGGGGAGUUUAACAUGUGCUCAGGAGGGCAGCAUGCUAUUAAUUGGACAUUAAGUGGUGGGCCAUGUCUGAGGCCAUUGCACGUUGUAUUAAUUACGGAGUGGCUAAUAACAACCUUCUGCCCCUGGUAUUUAUAGAAUAAUAAAAUCUGUCCCUGACACUGGCCUCACAUCUGGCAAAACUGGCAAACACAUUUUCAUUUACCUCCCUUUCUCAAGCGUGUUAAUAGCUUUCAGAUUUCCAGAGGAACAACUGGAGAUCUUAGAGCAAUACAGACUCAGUGCUAAUGGCUUCAGACUGAAGGCAGAGCUAAGAUUUUCACUUCAAACAGGGCUGGAUCCCCUAUUCCUCCCCUUGCCCUGUGUGACAUGGUGGAUAUGGGCAUGUCGUGCUGGAUGAGAUACUUACAAACACUGCAGUCCUGUUUUGGAAACAUUCCCCUGUGCUAUUACAUCAAAUACAAGCAAGCAUGGCUGUAACCAUUGGUAUUUCCAACCAGUGGGUUUCUGUGGGCUCUGGGACUGCAUCCCUGAGCUGCUGGGUGAUGGGAAAGUUCUGGAGAGCCUGUGAUGACGAGGAGGCAGGGGCUGACACAGAACUGCAGUGGGUGCAGUUCUUGCAGAUGUGGGUGGUCUCCUCCUGCAUGUUCCUGAAUUGAGCAACUUUGAAUCACUGGGGAAAAAGGAAAGAAACCCAUUCAUCCCGAAAUGUUUCCUUGCCUUGCUGUAGCUGCUGAAGAGCAUGGCUGGAGUGUAGCAACACAAAGACAGGAUUAGAAGAAAAUAAGGGCUCAAAAACAAUGGGGUCAGCUCAGUUUGGAGGGAGCAGACGAAGACAACACUUGCUUUAAUGCGCAGAAUUAUAUCAUCGGCAGCCAGAGGUCACAUCCUGCUGUCUUUUAAAAGAUAACUGCAGCCCCUCUCUGUUUCCCUGCUCCCUUAUAAACCUGGCUCGACCCAUACCCCGUAGCAGCAAGAGCGCACAGCCCAACAUCUUGGAUUAGUUAUGAGUGUCUCAGAUGCGCUCCAACUCAUAUUUCAUAUCAUUCCCCCAGCCAUAAGAUUUGAGUUUGUCACAUUUACUGGAGACUAAAGCACAAACAUGUUUUAUUCAUUAUCUGUCCUCGUCUCCGCAACAAGCACCUGCAAAACAUUUUGGCUCUCGACCGGAGCAACAAGGUUUCAUUAGACAUGACACUUUCUCCCUGGCUUGGAUGACGAAGCUACAUUUUAUCCCUCCACUUCCAGGCUGUGAAAUUGCCUGGAGAUCAUCACCUUGUACGAACGUGGACUCCGGAGACCUCUUGGCUGAAGUGGGAAAAAGGGAUCGAGGUGAUUACGUAGACCUGAUCUCUGCGAUCAGAGGGGUUUGGGGCAGCACUGAGCUGCUUUAGCCUUACAACAUCCAAAAGAAAGCCCAAUUCUGCAUCGUCAACAGGGAAAAAUGCCACGUGGAGGAGCAGAACUGUUGCAUGUUGUCAUACAGGGGAUUUGCAGGAUGUUUGGAGUGGAGAGCCCUUGUUAUUUUGAUUUUAGCCAGCAGCCGAUAUGGGAGCAGUGGUUCAAAGCUCCUCACCGACUCCUCUCUCCUGGCCAAUGAAUAUGGAUUGGAUGCAAAACAGAAGGGCUCACCGGGAGAGGGAGAGAAGCUGUUUGCCUUGCAAAAUUCAUCAGCCCGGUGCUCAGAUGAACGCUGGAAAUGAAGAAGUGAAAUUCAUGUCCCUCCUCUGAGCUCAGCCCAACAGAGCAGAGCACACGCUCUGGACCACGAGCAUCACCCCUUGCACUCCAGCUAUUAAUUUCCUCACAUCUGUUCUGCCAGCCUUCCCUGGGAUGGAGGGGCUGCCAGGAGAAGCCAAGCCACUGAGUUUUAUUCCUUUACAUGGAUCACAUUUAACGCUGCGUUGCUCUCUGCUUGCUGCCCUGCACAUAUGCUCCCCAGGAGGCAUUGUUAUGGUGCUUUCCCUUUAAUUAUCUUCACAAACGUACAAUUUUUCUCUCUUCACCUUCUCUCUUUCAUUUCCAAAGUCUUUAAUCACUUGUUUUCUUCUCGUUUCUUCUUGAUUUUUCUGACAUAUGCAAUAAAAACACCAGUAAAAUAUUCAUGAAGAAGCACUGAUCUCAGGUCUUUGAGAUCUCGCCGAUGGGAUGCGUAUGGCUGUGUAAUUAAAAGAUACUGUCAAUAAAGCAAGAUAUUGUGACACGCUAAUGGCACAGUGCCAUUUGAGGGAGGCCGGGGAGAUGCCAAAUCUGAUUCUGCAGUUAGUGUUCCAGCAGUUAAAGCCAUCAACCCAAGAAGGAAGCAGAGACAUCCCUACGCAAUGUCAGUUUGCGGCACAUAUUUAUUCAGUGCUAAAUACAGAAGCGACCUUUGAAUUAUUAAUAUAUCUCUUUGGAGGGUAAAAGCAUGAUGCAUUCCUUUGUGCCAUGCUUGAAGGGCAUGGUCAGUGGGUGUAGUGGCAAUGCUGAGUCAUGGCCUGCAGCAGUGAUGGAGCACCUGGGGGGAAGGCAGGGCCAGCCCAGGGCAGCUCAGGUGCAUGCAAUGUGCUGAGUGAUGGAAGGGCUGCAGCCUGGAUCCACCCCUUCCCAGCCCUCAUUUAAGGGUUGGCAGUGGAGGUAGGGGGUCUUGCUGGAGGUUACUGUGUACCUGAGGCCUUCCAAAGGGGAAAAUCUCUCACCUCCAAACUCCAACUCAAUGCAACAGAGAAGAGUCUACAGCACUGGGGCUAACUCCUUCUCUCAGGGCUUUGCCCAGGAGCCUCAUGGGCUGGUGGUACCCAGACAGCCUCAAAGCAGCCAUGGGCUGCUGACCCGAGCAGCUGGGUGCCCAUGAAGAUGCACUGUUUGCUGGGUGGGCUUCUGGAGAGAGCAGGAUGCUGCGCUUCCCUGCUUUGUGCUCACCACUGUGGCCCCACAAAUCAGCACAGCCGGAGGCCAGGGAAGAUUUCUUUGAUUGCCUUUUACUUCACUCCAUUGCAUUUCUUACUCAGUUUUCUUGGCUGGAUAUAAAGCCUGGUGCUGGUGGGGUGUAUUGCCAGCAGGGAGCAAGGGGAGCUUGCAACCAACAGGCAGCAUUGCAAUGCAGCAAGUGGCAGAAACUGAAAUGUGCUUCCGCAAGGACCACACUGAGGAAGCAGAGGGAGAAACUCAGCAAACUUUCGGGGUUAACAUCAGAUCUACCACCAGAUCCCACCCUCUUUUGGCUUGUGGGAGAGGGUUGUGCGUGCAGGCUGCUGCCAGAAGGCAUCAGAGGGGGAUGGGAAGGAGCUGCAGAUGGGUGCAGUGGCAGCGCACCUCUUACAGCACAGAGCAGCCCCAGAGCUCACCGCCAUGGCCAGCAGCAACAAAAGACACCACUGAUAUUUUCAUAAUCCUUUCCCCCACCUCCUCUUUUAUCCCAGAGCUGAAAAAAACAGCAACAGAAAGAUGCUUUACUGUGCAGGGUAAACCCUGAGCCACAGAACUGUGGGGUCAUGGGUGGGAGAGCUCACCCCUUUCCUGCGUAGCCUCAAAUGGGAUUCUUUUUAAUAAUGGUUUGGUAAUGGGAGUGUUCCUAUUUGCAUGCUGCAGCACAUUGAGGUUUUCCAAAGGAGAUGCAGAGAGGGGGUCUCAGUUGUGCUCAUAAAGUCUGGGAAGUCAGAAAAUUCAGAUUUGACCUCAGGGAAAUGAGGAAGAGGUGGAAUCCAUUAAGAAGUCGUGGCCAAAUCACUGCACUGAGUUUAAAAGUUGUGUUCAAUCAGUUGGUGGUGGUGGCUUUGGGAAAGGGCUGGAAGUCAGUUUUUGGUGUUAAUGGUUUUUCUUUCCCAGAGGCAAUCUGAUCUGAUGUUCUGUUUGUCCCACAGCACAGUGCAGCCCGGCAGCUUCACUCGGGCUGCAAGAGAGUUGGAGGUCUUCAGCCAGGCACCUCUGGUUUGCUCGGAGGACUGCCUGAUACCCACUGCCAGUUGCAUGGAGUGAAGGAGGUUUGUGUGUAGAAUGUCUGACACCGAUACAGGUGAGGAGGGAAGCAGUGCCUGGAGGUGCUGAGGUUGGUGAAGACUCUGCAGGAGGGGAGCAGCGCCGGGAGCGGAGCCCUCCCUGCAUCACCUGCACGUUCUCAUCUCGAGAUCCGCGGGGAACGCGAAGAAGCCGCCUUAGGAUGCGGGCAAAGCGUUGGGCAUCGGGAUCUGCUCCGGGCAUCCCCAGGAAGGGGCGGGAGGAGCUGUGUGUGCAUUCCAAGGGCUGCACUGCCACCUCCAGGUCUGCACAGCCCCACACAGCUGCGGCUCCGGCGCCGUCCCCGUUCAGCGCUGCAGAGGGGUUGGAGAGAGGAGCGCUCAACUAUUUGCGAUGAUUUCUUUUUUUCUUUCCUUUUUAAUUGUAGAUGAAAGACCGCACGAUGUCUCUUUCCGUAUGAAUUUCUCAUUGCAGAAUGAAGGCGCAUCGAUGUGAGAAACCGGGCGUUUCUAUGAGAUGACGGCAUUGUUUUUUUUCUGCCCUGCCAGAACAGUGCUGUCCUCCUCCUGCAUGGCCAUCUCCUCGCCUAUGAGCCUCGCAUUGCUGCGGGGCAGCUGCGUGCGGGGUUGCGUUGGCCCCGCGCACCGGGAGGUGGCACUGCAGCCGCAGCUUUGCGUGCCUUUGCACAGGUAAAGUGUGUUUUACUGGGAAAACAGUGGGAAGGAGCAAAACGUGGGAGCGUGGAGCAAGGAGGGUUUCCCUGGCACUUGUUUUCCACCUUUGUGAUGCCCUGGGAAAAGUUCUAAGCAAGCAUUUUCCUCCCCAAGUUCUACUCUGCAAAGUGUGCUCCUCAAGCAAAGCACAGAGAGAAGGAAGGCGUUGACAAAUGACACCCAGAAGUGUAGAAAAGAAGAAAACAAACAACGCAACCCCUUUUCUGCAGCUCCCCUGGGAGGAGUGCAAAAGUUGGGAGAUGCAUCAAAUUUCCAUCUCGUAUCAUUCUAACUGUUCUGGGUAAUGGGCCACAAGUCACCACUGACUUAAUGUCAAUCUCAGGGUGAAAUAUCCAGGCAAUGAGACAUGAUGGAGGAGACUGGUGAGCCAUCACUGCACCUAUGGGCUGUCACGUUGCCACUGAGUGCCCGCCAGCUUUUGUUGAAUGGAUGAAACUCAUCCACUUUGACAAGCAUCCUUAAAGUAGGAUAAAACUAGGAGGGCCUGUUGGAUGCAGGAGAAAGGACCCAAGGAGAUGGGGAGCUGUCAUAGAUUCCAUUACAAAAUGGUGUGGAGAUGCCUCUGAAUCUUGGUCAUCCCCAACCUCAACCAUCCUCAAUCUCAAUCCUCAACAUUUCCAAGCAGGAAAGAAGAGCAGGAAAACUCAGCUCCCAGCCCUCUUUUUGUCUUAUGUUGACCUUCAUGGUGCCUUUCCCAAAUGUAAAAUUUGGGAAACCUUGAUGUUCCAAAAAAAAAAAAAAGUCUAAGUGAGGUUGAUGUACCUUCAUAAUUGCACCUGUAAGCAAGGGGAGCGUCCUGCUGUGUGCUGCUUCCUUGCUGUGGUGUAGUACUUUGGUGGGUGGAUUUGAGCUUUGAGAACGCAGUGCAGAAGGAACAAAAAGAAAAAAUGAAGCUGGUCUCGCAAUGGAAGAUUUUUUCUGCUUUUCAGUGAUUUGAAAAGUUUGGCCUGAAUGUCAAGAAAAAAGAGGGAAAAAACCCAACCCAUGCAUUCUCCUAAUUUCAGCACAUUACCCAAUGAUUAAACAAUCUGGACCACUCCGUAUGACUGUAUUCACCACACAAAGAGGGCUACAAAUAAUAGCAACUUAACGGAGGUGACAUCUCCAAGCCUCUUAGGAGGCUAAUUCUAUAACAACAUUAAUUCAACAUAAUGCGUUCAUGAAUAGAGAUUGGGUUAAUGCAGGUUUUUCAAGUUAGGCAGCUUAUUCUUGCCGAUCUUCAUUUAACUAAGUGCCUGAUCUGGAAAACGCCGUGUCUGAGCUGAGGAUGCACAGGGUUGGCAUCAAAAGCGCAGUCUUCAAGCAAGACAAGAAGAGAAGGAUGUUGAUCAGAAGAAAUGUUCUUGCUCAGAUUGACACCAGUGCCUGAAUAAAGGCUAGAUGAUAUAUUCAAAGAGUUUCAAGGAGUGUUUUUCUAGAAAAUCCUCUCUUUUUUUGGUGUUUCUCACCUCUUGCUGCCGGGGUUAGGUCUCUAGCUUAAACCAGCCCAACCUUUUCUUCCCAGACAUUAGACACAGAUUGAUCAUUUGAUAAAUCAUUUCUGUGCUCACUUCCCAGCAAACAGCAGUGCUUCCCAUGCCAAACACAACAAGGCUUGAGAAGUCCCACCAGGAGCAAACCCAGGGCACUUUCUGUGGAUUUGAGAGGCUCAGAAAUUUGUAGGGAAGCGGAGAGUAGCAGAUGUUACACUUCUUG